GGAUGUGAGGGCGAUCUGGCUGCGACCUCUGUCACCCCAUUGAUGGCCAGGGUUGAUUCGCUGAUCUGGCUGGCUGGGCGGGUGUCCCCUUCCUCCCUCACCUCUGCAUGUGCUCCAUGUGCGUCCCUCCUAGAGCUGCGUGCUUGCCUGAAGAGGACAACCUUCCCCGCUAGAGGAGGACCGGUCUUCGGUCAAGGGUAUAGGAACAGCUGCGCUCCCAUGCUAGAACCUCCAAACAUGCUCUCAACUAAGUAAACCUUUUUUUUUUUAAAUUAACAAUUCCAAAUAAGGUAAAACACUUCAGAAGACGGUAAAUUCUCACAAGUCAGUGAGCUACAUAUUGUU
rnacentral:snRNA from 1 species